rnacentral:rRNA from 1 species
GACGAACGCUGGCGGCGUGCCUAAUACAUGCAAGUAGAACGCUGAAGGAGGAGCUUGCUCUUCUGGAUGAGUUGCGAACGGGUGAGUAACGCGUAGGUAACCUGCCUGGUAGCGGGGGAUAACUAUUGGAAACGAUAGCUAAUACCGCAUAACAGUAGAUGUUGCAUGACAUUUACUUAAAAGGUGCAAUUGCAUCACUACCAGAUGGACCUGCGUUGUAUUAGCUAGUUGGUGGGGUAACGGCUCACCAAGGCGACGAUACAUAGCCGACCUGAGAGGGUGAUCGGCCACACUGGGACUGAGACACGGCCCAGACUCCUACGGGAGGCAGCGGUAGGGAAUCUUCGGCAAUGGACGGAAGUCUGACCGAGCAACGCCGCGUGAGUGAAGAAGGGUUUCGGAUCGUAAAGCUCUGUUGUAAGAGAAGAACGAGUGUGAGAGUGGAAAGUUCACACUGUGACGGUAUCUGACCAGAAAGGGACGGCUAACUACGUG